rnacentral:tRNA from 1 species
GCCUCCAUAGCUCAGGGGUAGAGCACUUCUUUGGUAAAGAAGAGGUCUCGAGUUCGAAUCUCGAUGGAGGCUCCA